rnacentral:lncRNA from 1 species
GCACAAGAAACCCAACAAUCCAUUUCCUAGAAUAUAUAUAUAUAUAUAUAUAUAUAUAUAUUUUUUUUAUUCCUAACGAAGAUAUUUAGUGGAGGUGAGCCCUUAGUUUUUGUCUUUUGUCGCGCAUUGCAUUAGCCAUUUUUACUUUUCUACGUCGGCAAUGAGAUUCAAGCUUCCACUUUGGCUUAUUGCAAUUAGCGAAAAAGCAAACGUAUGACAGGCUGAGAUAAACUUCAGCGCAAUUAGUUUUAUUGUUAAUGCACAGCACCUUCUUGGUUUCGGGUAAAAUCGCAAUUUCCUUUAUGGUAUUAGAGUUAGCUAUCCGCGUGUCGGAUUAAACAAUCAUACAUGCUCUCAUGUAAGGACAGAAUUAUAAAUUUUUCAACGGGUGCUUUAGCCAAAGUUAUUAGCUUAAAAUUUAAAUCAUAAAAACCACGCUAGUUCGCCAACAGGGUCUAGCCAAGUGGAAAAAUGCCUUAACUUGCAGACCGGUGGUCUUGGGUUUAAACCCUCCUCCUCCUUGUAGUUUAGAUUAUUGCUUGUUUUUUUUUUUUUUAAUUUUUAAAAAUACACUAGUUCAUAAUUCCAUUGACUAAGUUUCAAUAAGUUUUUUUUCUUUUUUAAUAAGCAAUAUUGGAUGAAGGGGAAAUCGAACUUGAAGACUUCAAAUGCAAGGGUAAAUGUUAAUUUCCAAUAAGCUUUAAC